GGUUAACACGCAGAACUUUCUACGGGGAGCACGCCUAGCCGGCAGAUCAGGGUGCAGACGGGGCAAGGGCACCCCCUGAGUGCAAAGCCACCAGGGAGAGCCAGAAAAGACCCCUUGGGACGCCCCUGUGCUUGGCUCUGGGCCAGGAAUGAGGAAGAGAAGAACAGAGCUGGUGUGUCCGCUCCCCCGGCUCCCCAGGUGAGGAAAGCGGGCCUCCGGCAGAGCUCGUGUCCGGGGACCCGUCCCAGAUCCCAGAAGGCUCCCUGUGGACUGCGCCUGUGCCGCGUGGAGGGGGUGCACCGUGAAGCACGGGCCCCAGGGCCCUGCCCCUCUAACAGACACCGUUCCGGGUUGACGCUGGCACAGACAUGGGGCAGCCGAAGCAGGAAAGAGAAAGGCACCUUAAAGAAACAGAAUGGACAGGAUCCUGAAAGGUGUGACUACAUCCCAAUGAUGCAUUCAGGGAUGACUACACCAAUCAGAAUAGAGGCUUGUUAGCUGCUGUUCCGUCAGCUGGAAAGGCCAACAUUGGCAGUGUUCCCGCCAACCUUUCUCCUUCUCUUAGGAAUAAGUGUGUGACAUCAUCUUGGUGCCAUUCCUUCGACCACCAACGCAGUCUCCUAGCUUCCUUUGUUCAGACUCUGGGCUCAACACGUGACCUCAGGUCACCUGACUUCCCAAGAAAAUCUACCCACAGAGAGACCCGGGGCUGGGGCAGGAUCAGCCUGAGUUCCAGUCCGAAGGGUUGCCCAGAAGGAGUCUGAGAGAUGCCUGCUCUCAAAGAACACAGGAUCUAGAGGGGAGGUAUACGCAAGAAAUAACCAAACACGGUCAGUGGCACAAAUGAAGACGCAGCCCACGCCGAUAAAGGAGUGAGCCAGAAUGGGGCGGAAAAAAUCUCAGAAGGCUUUCUAUGAGAUGGGUCCUAAGAAAAAGCUGCUCUGUCUGUUGCGAGAAAAGGUGGGGUCUUGAAGUCAGAUAGACUUAGCCGUUUGCAACUUCGUAAGGUAGGCACGAGGCUGAGCAGGGCGGGAACAAAGUGCCUUGGACGGGGAGGUGCUCGAGAGAUGGUCGUGAAACGCGCGCGGCCGGAGGAAGGACAAGGGCUUCCGCUCGCUCCGCCUCACGCUGCUCUCACUGUCUCAUCGCUGACGCUCAUUUCGCUGCCGCGACCAGCGUGGGAGGUGGGGACCACUAUCGAUCCCACUUACUGAUGAACAAACAAGGCAGGCCCAGAGAAGUGACUUGCCCAAGGUCAACACAGCUGGGAUCUGAAUCCCGGCAGUCUGGGUCCUGCUUUGGAAUAUUAACCAUGUCCCUGGCUUCUCCCAUCACAUUGGCUCCACUACCCCUCUUCAAGUCCUAUUCGUUAUCAGACAAAAUCGUCAGAACAUCUUCAAUUUUUAGGAUGAAUAUUGAAAACAUCAUACAUCCCUGGCUCGUCGGGGAGUGGCCACUGGGUGCCAUUUCUGUUGCUCACUCACUGAUCUAUCCGAGACGCUGAUGUGUACAGACCCUUUUUGUCUCAGUUAAUAUAAAACACCAUAUAAACAUUGA